GCACCCGUAGCUCAGUGGAUAGAGCAUCAGGUUCCGGUCCUGAGUGUCGGGGGUUCGACUCCCUUCGGGUGCG
rnacentral:tRNA from 1 species